GACGAACGCUGGCGGCGUGCUUAACACAUGCGAGUCGAACGGAAAGGCCCUGCUUUUGUGGGGUGCUCGAGUGGCGAACGGGUGAGUAACACGUGAGUAACCUGCCCUUGACUUUGGGAUAACUUCAGGAAACUGGGGCUAAUACCGGAUAGGAGCUCCUGCUGCAUGGUGGGGGUUGGAAAGUUUCGGCGGUUGGGGAUGGACUCGCGGCUUAUCAGCUUGUUGGUGGGGUAGUGGCUUACCAAGGCUUUGACGGGUAGCCGGCCUGAGAGGGUGACCGGCCACAUUGGGACUGAGAUACGGCCCAGACUCCUACGGGAGGCAGCAGUGGGGAAUAUUGCACAAUGGGCGGAAGCCUGAUCCAGCAACGCCGCGUGCGGGAUGACGGCCUUCGGGUUGUAAACCGCUUUCGCCUGUGACGAAGCGUGAGUGACGGUAAUGGGUAAAGAAGCACCGGCUAACUACGUG
rnacentral:rRNA from 1 species